CAAUGUUGUAGAGCAGUAAAUUUGCCGUAAGAAUAUGCUCAUUAUAAAACGUUUAAGUUUUCUCAGAGCUCGUGAAAGAAUUAAAUAUGCUUUUUGACAAAUUUUGCUCCAGUCUCCCCUACUUAGCUUUACAUUCAUUGAAAUUUGAUUGAAGUCUCGUCGAUUCAUUGUCGUCAUUGAAACCGAAAAGUGAUCCUUUAUUAAAUUGAAUACUAAUUCUCAGAAUAUAUGGAAGUCUGCUAUCCUAUUUCCUACACGAGACUGCUAAUAUUUCCAUAUUAAUGAAAAGAGUAGAUUCAAAUAUAAGUCUGAGUGGUCAAAAAUACGCAGGGUUGGUUUAUGUCGAUAAAAUAGUUCAAUGUGUGCUGGUCUGGGAUGAAGAAUGAGUGAGCAAUUUUCCUAUAUUAAAGCCAUAGACGAUGUUGUGUCUACCUAAUCAUUUUUAUCAGAACUAUGACAUAAUAUUUAAAAUGAAUCUCUCAAUGGGAAAUUGCACAGUCAUUUAAUGCUACAAUAAUUUUUGAUGCUCAUCCAAGAUUAAACUAGAUCCAUGAAUACUUCCGCUUUAGGCUUUAGUGUUCUGUAGCCACAGAAAUCACUCUCAUAUAUCUAGGGUUUCACGUAGCAUUUGCAAGCUUAUAUGUGAUCCUGUCUCAGAGUAGUCUAUCUCAUAUUUCACCGUGAAUGUCCAAUUUGAAUAUCUCUCUUGGAAGCUCUUCUGGCUGUUGAAUAAAUAAAAUAUACCAAUUAUCUGCAAAAGUGCUUGAAAGUGAAUAUUAUAAUGGAAAAUUGCGAUUUAAUACCAGUUAUUGUUGAAGUACUGGGAAGUCUCUUCAAUCCAAACAGAAAUGAUGACUAUGAGUUCAGCGAUGAACGUAAUGCUCUCAAGUACAUAAAAUCCACAUAAAAUUGCAUCAUGCCAGAUUGGAAAAUCAAAUAAAAGGGAUAUGUAUAUAAUAUUGAUUUGUUUUUAUUUUAUGUUCAUUAUUUUUUCCGUUGCGAAUUUUUCCAAUGGCGCUUUCAACUCUUUCCCAGAUGCUAGUAAUGAUGAUUCAUUUGAAAGAAUAUUCCAAUACAGAUUAUAUGCUAUGUAUACAUUGCAGAAAUAGCGAAUCAUUCCCCGAUGCAGAAGAUUAAAUAAAAAAUAAUAGUCACUGAAAAUGUGGGUGGUAGGUGGGUAUUUAAAAGAAAAAUAAGAAAAAUGUGCAUAUAAGCAAAAAAAUUGCAAAUUAAGAGGAAUAAAAAUUGCA